UCCAGGCGGCGAACUUCACGCGUUAGCUACGGUACUAAAGAAGUCUCCUUCUCCAACACCUAGUUCGCAUCGUUUAGGGCGUGGACUACCAGGGUAUCUAAUCCUGUUUGCUCCCCACGCUUUCGUGCAUGAGCGUCAGUGUUGACCCAGGGGGCUGCCUUCGCCAUCGGUGUUCCUCCACAUCUCUACGCAUUUCACUGCUACACGUGGAAUUCCACCCCCCUCUGCCACACUCGAGUCUCGCAGUCACAAACGCAGUUCCCAGGUUAAGCCCGGGGAUUUCACAUCUGUCUUACAAAACCGCCUGCGCACGCUUUACGCCCAGUAAUUCCGAUUAACGCUCGCACCCUACGUAUUACCGCGGCUGCUGGCACGUAGUUAGCCGGUGCUUCUUCUUCAGGUACCGUCAUUGAUGAAGGGUAUUAGCCCACACCGUUUCNUUCCUGCCGAAAGAGCUUUACAACCCGAAGGCCUUCUUCACUCACGCGGAAUGGCUGGAUCAGGGUUGCCCCCAUUGUCCAAAAUUCCCCACUGCUGCCUCCCGUA
rnacentral:rRNA from 1 species